rnacentral:lncRNA from 1 species
CGAUCUUUGGGGCCAAUGAACUUCAUUUCUUUUCCAAGCUUUAUCCAGCUAACAAAUUAGGUUACUCUUAACAUCUAUAUUCACCUCUGUUUGAGGCAGGGAAUGAAUGUGAUCUAUCUUUGCAACGAUUUCAUAAACGAGCUAACUCUCUUCUGAACACGGCCUUAUCCCAUUCAAUUAAAGCUCCUUUGCAAUACUUCAAU